rnacentral:rRNA from 1 species
CGAACGGGUGAGUAAUGCGUGACCAACCUGCCCCAUGCUCCAGAAUAGCUCUUGGAAACGGGUGGUAAUGCUGGAUGCUCCAACUUGACGCAUGUCUUGUUGGGAAAGUGUUUAGUGGCAUGGGAUGGGGUCGCGUCCUAUCAGCUUGUAGGCGGGGUAAUGGCCCACCUAGGCUUCGACGGGUAGCCGGCCUGAGAGGGCGGACGGCCACAUUGUGACUGAGAUACGGCCCAGACUCCUACGGGAGGCAGCAGCC